rnacentral:rRNA from 1 species
CCUACGGGGGGCUGCAGUGAGGAAUAUUGGUCAAUGGACGAGAGUCUGAACCAGCCAAGUAGCGUGAAGGAUGACUGCCCUAUGGGUUGUAAACUUCUUUUAUAUGGGAAUAAAAUGUUCCACGUGUGGGAUUUUGUAUGUACCAUAUGAAUAAGGAUCGGCUAACUCCGUGCCAGCAGCCGCGGUAAUACGGAGGAUCCGAGCGUUAUCCGGAUUUAUUGGGUUUAAAGGGAGCGUAGAUGGAUUGUUAAGUCAGUUGUGAAAGUUUGCGGCUCAACCGUAAAAUUGCAGUUGAAACUGGAAGUCUUGAGUACAGUAGAGGUGGGUGGAAUUCGUGGUGUAGCGGUGAAAUGCUUAGAUAUUACGAAGAACGCCGGUGGCGAAGGCAGCUCUCUGGACUGCAACUGACACGGAGGCUCGAAAGUGUGGGUAUCAAACAGGAUUAGAUACCCGAGUAGUC